CGUAGGGUGCAAGCGUUAAUCGGAAUUACUGGGCGUAAAGCGUGCGCAGGCGGUUUUAUAAGUCUGAUGUGAAAUCCCCGGGCUCAACCUGGGAACUGCAUUGGAGACUGUAAGGCUAGAGUGUGUCAGAGGGGGGUAGAAGUUCCACGUGUAGCAGUGAAAUGCGUAGAUAUGUGGAGGAAUACCGAUGGCGAAGGCAGCCCCCUGGGAUAACACUGACGCUCAUGCACGAAAGCGUGGGGAGCAAACAGGAUUAGAUACCCUGGUAGUCCACGCCCUAAACGAUGUCUACUAGUUGUCGGGUCUUAAUUGACUUGGUAACGCAGCUAACGCGUGAAGUAGACCGCCUGGGGAGUACGGCCGCAAGGUUG
rnacentral:rRNA from 1 species